rnacentral:rRNA from 1 species
GACGAACGCUGGCGGCGUGCUUAACACAUGCAAGUCUGCGAGAAAGGGGUAGCAAUAUCCCGAGUAAAGUGGCGCACGGGUGAGUAACACGUAGGCAAUUUGCCUUCAGGACGGGGAUAAUUUCGCGAAAGCGGGACUAAUACCCGAUUAUGCAGCGGCACCGCAUGGUGACAGUUGUUAAAGGCCGUAAGGCGCCUGGAGAUGAGCCUGCGUCCCAUUAGGUAGUUGGCGGGGUAACGGCCCACCAAGCCCGCGAUGGGUAGCUGGUCUGAGAGGAUGGCCAGCCACACUGGAACUGAGACACGGUCCAGACUCCUACGGGUGGCUG